rnacentral:rRNA from 1 species
GUAGGUGGCGAGCGUUAUCCGGAUUUACUGGGCGUAAAGCGCGUGCAGGCGGUUCCGUAAGUCGGACGUGAAAGCUCCUGGCUUAACUGGGAGAGGCCGUUCGAUACUGCGGGACUUGAGGUCGGGAGAGGGACGUGGAAUUUCCGGUGUAGUGGUGGAAUGCGUAGAUAUCGGAAGGAACACCAGUGGCGAAGGCGGCGUCCUGGCCCGCACCUGACGCUAAGACGCGAAAGCGUGGGUAGCGAACGGGAUUAGAUACCCCGGUAGUCCACGCCGUAAACGGUGGAUACUAGGUGUUGGUGGCUAUCGUCAUCAGUGCCGUAGCUAACGCGUUAAGUAUCCCGCCUGGGAACUACGGCCGCAAGGCUA